UACGUAGGGGGCGAGCGUUGUCCGGAUUUAUUGGGCGUAAAGAGCUCGUAGGCGGUUUGGUAAGUCGGGUGUGAAAUCUCCAGGCUCAACCUGGAGAGGUCACCCGAGACUGCCAUGACUAGAGUCCGGUAGGGGUGUGUGGAAUUCCUGGUGGAGCGGUGAAAUGCGCAGAUAUCAGGAAGAACACCCGUGGCUAAGGCGGCUCUCUAGUACGGUACUGACGCUGAGACGCGAAAGCGUGGGGAGCGAACAGG
rnacentral:rRNA from 1 species